AUUGAACGCUGGCGGCAGGCCUAACACAUGCAAGUCGAACGGGUGGCGGACGGGUGAGUAAUGUCUGGGACACUGCCUGAUGGAGGGGGAUAACUACUGGAAACGGUAGCUAAUACCGCAUACCAUCAGAUGUGCCCCGAUGGGAUUAGCUAGUUGGUGGGGUAAUGGCUCACCUAGGCGACGAUCCCUAGCUGGUCUGAGAGGAUGACCAGCCACACUGGAACUGAGAAACGGUCCAGACUCCGACGGGAGGCAGCAGUGGGGAAUAGGGAACAAUGGGCGCAAGCCUGAGGCAGCCAUGCCGCGUGUGUGAAGAAGGCCUUCGGGUUGUAAAGCACUUUCAGCGAGGAGGCGUUACUCGCAGAAGAAGCACCGGCUAACUCCGUGCCAGCAGCCGCGGUAAUAC
rnacentral:rRNA from 1 species